rnacentral:rRNA from 1 species
ACGGGAGGCAGCAGUGGGGAAUAUUGGACAAUGGGCGAAAGCCUGAUCCAGCCAUGCCGCGUGAGUGAUGAAGGCCCUAGGGUUGUAAAGCUCUUUCGGCGGGGACGAUAAUGACGGUACCCGCAGAAGAAGCCCCGGCUAACUUCGUGCCAGCAGCCGCGGUAAUACGAAGGGGGCUAGCGUUGCUCGGAAUCACUGGGCGUAAAGGGCGCGUAGGCGGAUCUUUAAGUCGGGGGUGAAAGCCCAGGGCUCAACCCUGGAAUUGCCUUCGAUACUGAAGAUCUCGAGACCGGAAGAGGUAAGUGGAACUGCGAGUGUAGAGGUGAAAUUCGUAGAUAUUCGCAAGAACACCAGUGGCGAAGGCGGCUUACUGGUCCGGUUCUGACGCUGAGGCGCGAAAGCGUGGGGAGCAAACAGGAUUAGAUACCCUGGUA